rfam:Gossypium arboreum cultivar AKA8401 contig_4327_1, whole genome shotgun sequence.
UAUUAAAACUUUCAUCAAUUUCUACUUAAAAAUUAGUAUUGUUGACGGAAUAACUAGACGGUUACAUGUGAUGUGCCAUGUAUAUUUUAUGCUAACAUAUAGGAACAAAUUUUUAACAACAAAAAUAGAUGAAAUUUUUAACU